rnacentral:sRNA from 1 species
ACCUGGUGUGGUGGCGCACACCUGUAAUCCCAGCAGCUCAGGAGGCCGAGGCAGGAGAAUCACAAGUUCGAGGCCAGCCUCAGCAAUUUAGGGAGGACUUAAGCAACUUAGCGAGACCCUGCGUCUA